CCAGGAGGAAAGCCACCUUGCAGGGGGACAAGCCAGCACCAAAGAAGGACGAGGAUGUCACCAGUGACGAGGCGGAGCCGGGCACUAGGACCUCGGGGCAGCCGGCGGAGCCCGUGCGGAGGCCCUGGGAGAAGGCCAGCUCCACGCUGCCCAGGAUGAAAUCGGCAGUCCCAGCUGCCCCCGCCGACACCACCGGCCCCGCUGAUGAGCCCGACCUGGAGCGAAUCAAACAGGAGCUGCUGGAGGAGGUGCGGAGGGAGUUGCAGAAGAUGAAGGAGGAGAUCAUCGAAGCAUUCGUGGUGGAGCUGCGGAAGCGAAGCGCACCCUAACCCCCCCCUGCCAGCCCUCCCAAGAUGGGCCUGGAUGGGGG